CACGCCGUAAACGCUGAUUACUAGGUGUAGGGGGUAUAGACUCCCUCUGUGCCGCAGUUAACGCAUUAAGUAAUCCACCUGGGGAGUACGGCCGCAAGGUUAAAACUCAAAGGAAUUGACGGGGACCCGCACAAGCAGCGGAGCAUGUGGUUUAAUUCGAUGCAACGCGAAGAACCUUACCAGGGCUUGACAUGUGGGUGAAAGCUGUAGAGAUACAGCCCUCUCUUCGGAGACAUCCAUACAGGUGG
rnacentral:rRNA from 1 species